AAAGAGCUCUGUGCUACUUUUAUCUCUGAGAUGAGACCUAAAGACGUUUCAGCUGCGCUACAGUAAGACCCUCUGUUUGUCAACAUGUCCCUGAAAAUACCUGGCUUGAUUACUCUUAGAACAUUUCUGACUAUCUCUGACUCUGUAAGGACUGACGCCGGAGAUGAGAAGCAGGUACAGGGAGUCAAACAUUUAAUCGGGAACAGACAUAGAACAAGAGAGGAACAGCGUCAGCACACGGACCUAUCUGCUGCCUUUGAUACUGUGAACCAUCAGAUCCUCCUCUCCACCCUCUCCGAGUUGGGCAUCUCCGGCGCGGCCCACGCUUGGAUUGCGUCCUACCUGACAGGUCGCUCCUACCAGGCGGCGAAUCGCAUCUCUGCAUGUCUGUCAGACAUAUCAGUGUGGAUGACGGAUCACCAGCUCAAGCUGAACCUCGG
rnacentral:lncRNA from 1 species